CAGUGUCUCCAGGUGGUGGGGCCCAACCUCUUUUUUUUUUUUUUAAACCCAAAAUGCAAACGUGAGUAGGGCAUGAAAUACACAGUUUAAAUGCCCUCACUAUCUUUGGGUUACUAAUAUACUAAGCCUUUCUGGACUAAGUAAAGGAUGCAGGUUCAUGCGGCUAGGGGUAGAAGCCAGACUUGGGUCUUCAGAAUUUCCCACCAAGGCUGUACCUCUGGAGGAGUUCUGUGUUUCGAUUUGGUCAUCUCAAGAAGGAAACCACUCAAACUUUAGUGGAACGAUUAGAAGUCUUUAGAUGUUCACCUGUGGCCCUUCAACAUUUUUCUUUCCUGGAAAAAUCAAGUGUCGCUGCUUCAGUGUUCCAAGCCCCUCCCCCAGAACGUGUAGGAAGCUGGGUGGAGCCUAAAGCCGAGCCCUCUGCGUUGACCUCGGCUAAGAGGAGGAAGCCAGUGUUUUGAGAAAAGCUUCGUGAGUCUUCAGAUGGAUUUUAAAAUUGAACACACUUGGGAUGGUUUUCCAGUGAAGCACGAGCCGGUAUUUAUCAGGCUGAAUCCAGGUGACAGAGGAGUGAUGAUGGACAUUAGUGCUCCAUUUUUCAAUGAUCCUCCAGCCCCACUUGGAGAACCAGGAAAACCUUUCAAUCAACUGUGGGAUUAUGAAGUUGUGGAAGCAUUUUUCUUGAAUGAUAUAACUGAGCAGUAUUUAGAAGUUGAACUUUGUCCCCAUGGACAGCAUUUAGUGCUUUUACUUUCUGGAAGAAGAAAUGUGUGGAAACAAGAACUUCCUUUAUCAUUCAGAGUGUCCAGAGGAGAGACAAAAUGGGAAGGCAAAGCUUAUCUCCCUUGGAAUUAUUUUCCACCAAAUGUGACAAAAUUCAAUUCAUUUGCAAUUCAUGGAUCAAAAGAUAAACGAAGUUAUGAAGCUCUUUACCCUGUACCUCAGCAUGAACUGCAACAAGGACAAAAACCUGAUUUAGCUAAAGGGCCAGAGGCGUCAGUGUUUCCAGGUGUGAACAAAGGGUCCCUGUUGCAAGGAAAUCUGAUCUUCAGUUAUCUCUCUAGUUCUCCUCUUCUGGUAACCUCAUAAGGAUAAAAAUAUCAACUAUGUUUCUAGGCAACAUUGCUUAUGAUAAAAAUGACCCUUAAGUGGUAAAUUACAUCUGGACUGAGAAUAAUUUUGGAUGAACUAUAAAUAUAUGAUGGAGACAGCGUGGCUUUGGGAUUCUCCUUUAACAGUCAUGUUCCCUGUGCGAACCCUGGAAGCUAUGGCUAUGGAGUUAUUCCAAGAGAUAAUGCUCUCAUGGGGCAGCAGGCAUUUGAGCCAAGCCAUCACCUAGAAUACUUCAGACCUUUCAAUUUUAACACGCUGCUUGGAGAAGAAUGGAAACAACCGGAAUCAGACCUGUGGCUAAUAGAGAAAUGUGAUAUACAGGAGUGUAAUAGAUAACCAUACUGAUCAUUUUUCUCUAUGUCUUUUAAGAUAAACAAAAAAUAAAUAUCAAUUUUUUAAGAUGUCAUGCAUACAUUUCAACAACAAAUAUUUUCAUAGAAGUCACUGGAAAUAUCUGUGGCAAAUUGCAUAUGAUUAACAAGACAAUAGAUGAUUCUUUGUAGAUGUUUCAUCUGUAAAGUCACAGUGUUUCUCACAGUCACUUAGUCCAGGAUGUUACAUUCCCAGCACACAGUACAGUUAUUCUUGAGAACUACAGGUGAGAAAGGGGGGACAAUUGAGUUUGUCCAAGGCCACCUAGAGCACUGUCCUGCACUACCUUGUGAUUCAGCUAUUUCAUUCCUAGAUAUACACCCCAGAAAAAUGACUGCUCAUAGAAGCUUUAUUCACAAUAGCACAAAACUGUAAACACUCAAAUUUCCAUCCAUAGGAAAAUGGAUAAACAAACUGCAAUAUAGUCAGCGGAAUACUGUUCAUUAAAAAAAGGACGCUGAUACAUGCAACAACCUGUAUGAAUCUCAAAAACAUUAAGUAGAGCAAAACAAGCCAGAUAUAACAUACUAUCUAAUUACUUUUACAUUAAAGCCACUUCUAGGCAAAACUAGCAUUUGAUGAUAGAUACCAGAGUAGUGGCUGCUUUGAGUGAGGGCAGGGAAUUCAAAUUGAAUGGAAAAGGAGCCUGAGGAAAUGUUCUGGGGUGAUUGAAAUGUUUUGUAUUUUGAUCUGGAUGACGGUUAUGUAGUUGCAUACAUUUGUCAACAUGCCCCAUGCUGUAUGUUUAGAUUUGCGAUUUUAGUAUAUGUAAAUUAAUUCAUUAAUAAAAUACUAUUAUAAAAUAAGCUAUAAAUUAAAUGGAAUUAACUUCAAGUUUA